CCUACGGGGGGCUGCAGUGGGGAAUAUUGGACAAUGGGCGAAAGCCUGAUCCAGCCAUGCCGCGUGUGUGAAGAAGGCCUUCGGGUUGUAAAGCACUUUCAGUGGGGAAGAAAGCCUUGGGGCUAAUACCCUCGAGGAAGGACAUCACCCACAGAAGAAGCACCGGCUAACUCCGUGCCAGCAGCCGCGGUAAUACGGAGGGUGCGAGCGUUAAUCGGAAUUACUGGGCGUAAAGCGCGCGUAGGCGGUCUGAUAAGCCGGUUGUGAAAGCCCCGGGCGCAACCUGGGAACGGCAUCCGGAACUGUCAGGCUAGAGUGCAGGAGAGGAAGGUAGAAUUCCCGGUGUAGCGGUGAAAUGCGUAGAGAUCGGGAGGAAUACCAGUGGCGAAGGCGGCCUUCUGGACUGACACUGACGCUGAGGUGCGAAAGCGUGGGUAGCAAACAGGAUUAGAUACCCGAGUAGUC
rnacentral:rRNA from 1 species